CUCACUAGCUCUCAUUUCCAGGUUUUUGACUGUUACCUUUAUUUUCAGAGCCAUGCUUCUAAAUGCAUAAUUUUUCUUGCUAGAAUUUGGAUAGUUUGGAUAGGAAUGGUAUUCUGUAUUUGGAAAUCCAAAUAUACUAAAGUUAACACAUUAUUGUUCAUAAUUUCACCCAUUGUCUGUUUUAUGUGUGUAUUGUAUUUUCAAUUACUUUUUGUUUCUUUUCUUAUGUCACACGGUUCCUCUUUUUGAUUCAUGCCUUGUACAUGUUAUAUUGCCUAAUAGCUAGUAAUUAUCCCUGAUAUAUAUUGAUAUUCUUUUCUCAGUUAGUUUCAAUCUGUUUUGUAGGCUGCACUCUUUAUAGCACAAUGAAUUUGGCAUUUUCAUUCUUUUCAUCUUAUGUUGCUAAUGCAAUGUUAUAUGGCUCACAUCCUAUUGCAGAGGUGGAAGAAAAUAACUUUUUCUUAUUAUUUCUUCGGGAAGUAUCCUGCAAAAAGUUUUCCAUUAGGUUACCGUCUUCUUUGCUUAUGGGUUUCUUUUGUGGUUUUGUUUCUUCAUUAAUUAGUCUCACAAUCAACAUGGAAUGACCCAAAACUGCUCAUCUGGUCAAACAUAAUUUGUGAGUUAUUGGGCUGCAAAUGGAUGAGGGGGUGCUAUUUGCUAUCUCUUGUCAUUUAACUGUCAACACAUUUAUGCCAAUCCUUGAUUUGUUGUUUGUUCUGUUGGCACUUUGAAUCCCUUGGUUACUUGCAGCUUACUUGCAGCUGACAGUGUUUAUCAUCCUUAUGGGCUUUCAUUUGGUUGUUAUCUUUUGCAUUUUCUUAAAGGUCUUCUCUUGUGCAAGCUACAACGUGAUUAUUGAUUAAUUCGUUAAAAAUUGAUCUAAUAAUGAACUAGAAUUGAAUUGCAUUUUAUUUUUAAAUUAUCAUUCAUUCCAUCUGCACUAAUUAUCUUAAAUCUGCAUGGGUACGCAUCAGAAAUCCCCUUGCCAUUUUGCAUAUUGCAUCUCAGUAAAUUUUUCCUACUAAUUUGUUGCCAUGACCAUUGUUUAGUCUCUUACAUCUUGUUCUUAAAAUUCUAAGCUUCAAUCAACAGAUGCAUGAGCAUCUGGGACCAAUCUAUAUACAUUUAUCUUUUCUUUCUUUUAUCAUCUGCUCAUGGCCAUCUAAAAUUCUGAUCUCAUUUCUGGAGAUAUUUUUCCUUAGCUACCUAGCUCUUAUGAGGAUAGUGCUGCUGCUAUAUGAUGUAUAUGUGGUUGUAUUGUUUAAUAAGCUUUUAUUCAGUUCGAAUUUUCUGUAUUUUAGCAACCAUAUGUCUCAAUAGCAAUAAAUCCAACAUUAGUGACCAAAUUUUCUUCCACCUUCAAUAUUCUGUUUCAUUAAGCUGGAUUACAGCAUGGCCAGUUCUGGUUAUCCCAGAGAAUUUGCUUAUUUACAUCAGCGUCUUGAUUUGUACUAUUUUUAUGUCUUGUCUGUUCUAACAAUUUUUUCUUUCUUAUAAGAUGAAUAUGUAAGAGCUUCAUCAAUACUGAUGGAAAAUUUUAGGAAAGUUGCCAUGUUUCUUUGAUCAAUUCAUCAUCUUAGUCUGCCUAGAAUUUACCCUUUUCUGCCUCCAUAUUUUCCUUGAAACCUCUUGCCCUGUAAAACUUAAAACUAGCUCUUUCCAGAGUUUGCCAUGCUUGUUCUUCAACAAAAUGUUCCCUGUUAAAGCAGCAUUUGAUGGUUAGAGUGGGGUUUGAUGUCUUGUCAUACAGUUGUCGUCAUUAAUUCUUUUGGACCUUCCCUGGGGUAAGAAUCAUGAUAAAUUGCAUAUCUUAAUAUGUUCAUGCUUUGUACAGCUGAUAGGAACUCUUGGAGGAAUAUGAUCCGAUGUAAAAUUGGAUUUGUUUAGCAUAGUUUGUAGUUGACAAUGAAACAGCAAG
rnacentral:misc_RNA from 1 species